rnacentral:lncRNA from 1 species
ACCCGAUGCCUUGGGCCUUGAUCAUGAACAUUCGUUGCGUACAAAAUUCUUCGGGGCAUUCCCCGACGAGUAAAUACAAAUGACCUCGGGGCAUUCUCCGGUUAAAUGACUACACUUUUCAAAUACGAUAAACAAAACAUUCAACAAAUAUUUCAAGCAUUUCAACAAUCCAACAAUUCUAAAUUUGCCUACCCGAGUUUAAAAUUUGCCUAUUAAUUUCCGCCUAAAACAUGAAACUAUCAAUUUCAACAAUGUCCAUCAAUGAAUAAAAAUAAUCAACAUUUACUUUAUCGAUCUUUUAACCCCCACCCCCAAUUCUAUACUAAAAUUACCAAUUUCAAAUCUCAAAUUA